rnacentral:rRNA from 1 species
AACGCGAAGAACCUUACCCAGACUUGACAUGCAGAGGACAGCUCUAGAGAUAGAGUCUCCCUUAGGGGUCUCUGCACAGGUGCUGCAUGGCUGUCGUCAGCUCGUGCCGUGAGGUGUUGGGUUAAGUCCCGCAACGAGCGCAACCCUUAUCAUUAGUUGCCAACAUUUCGGAUGGGAACUCUAAUGAGACUGCCUGGGUUAACCAGGAGGAAGGUGAGGAUGACGUCAAGUCCGCAUGGCCCUUAUGUCUGGGGCUACACACGUGCUACAAUGGUCGGUACAGAAGGCAGCGAAGCCGAGAGGUGAAGCAAAUCCAACAAAGCCGAUCCCAGUUCAGAUUGUAGUCUGCAACUCGACUACAUGAAGGCGGAAUUGCUAGUAAUGGCGAGUCAGCAACAUCGCCGUGAAUACGUUCCCGGGCCUUGUACACACCGGUACUA